AGCGUAGACGGAAUGGCAAGUCUGAUGUGAAAGGCCGGGGCUCAACCCCGGGACUGCAUUGGAAACCGUCAAUCUAGAGUACCGGAGGGGUAAGUGGAAUUCCUAGUGUAGCGGUGAAAUGCGUAGAUAUUAGGAGGAACACCAGUGGCGAAGGCGGCUUACUGGACGGUAACUGACGUUGAGGCUCGAAAGCGUGGGGAGCAAACA
rnacentral:rRNA from 1 species